rnacentral:rRNA from 1 species
CUACGGGGUGCUGCAGUGAGGAAUAUUGCACAAUGGGGGGAACCCUGAUGCAGCAACGCCGCGUGGAGGAUGACGCAUUUCGGUGUGUAAACUCCUUUUAUAUGUCAAGAAAAUGACGGUAGCAUAUGAAUAAGCACCGGCUAACUCCGUGCCAGCAGCCGCGGUAAUACGGAGGGUGCAAGCGUUACUCGGAAUCACUGGGCGUAAAGGACGCGUAGGCGGGUUGGAAAGUCAGGUGUGAAAUCCUACAGCUUAACUGUAGAACUGCACUUGAAACUUCUAAGCUAGAGUAUGGGAGGGGGGGAUGGAAUUAGUGGUGUAGGGGUAAAAUCCGUAGAUAUCACUAGGAAUACCUAAAGCGAAGGCGAUCUCCUGGAACAUUACUGACGCUAAGGCGUGAAAGCGUGGGGAGCAAACAGGAUUAGAUACCCCUGUAGUC